AGUCGGCCGAAACGGCUGGAGUUGCGUACAUCGUCGGCUUAAAGGGGCUCACGACGAAGCAGGUGAUCGGUUCGUUCUGCGCAUCGUUCAACGUGACAGUGACAUCCGCCGUUAUUUCCGGGAACGAAGGCUCCACAUAGAAGUUGAACUGAUACGUGACAUCCUCGUCCUUGUCGAUGGGACAGAUGGCACCGUACAGGAGAUUGCGGCACACAUCGGACACUUCGUCGGACAUCGAUGAUGAGAUUCAAGUGGACACGGAUAUAGAUGGCCGAAACUUACUGCCCAGGAAGUGCACCUCCAUGACUGCUAUGGUUCCUUUGUACACAACGCACGGCGGUUCCUCGCAAUCCUUAAUAUUCACAUCCAGUGGAAACGGCUUAUUUUUGCCUGAAAGCGGAAAUAUGUUUUCGAAGAAUCAAAAGAGUUUUUAGCUACUUACACUGCUGGACAUUGGUGGCAUUGACUGUGGCCAGAAUUAGAGCCAAAGUUACAACGAUUCGCAGCAUUUUUCUGGAUGGAAUCUUUUUUAAUCUUACUUCAGAAGAAUACAAUAUACAUUGAGUACGCGCGCACGCAGAUGACAAUCGUGAGUGGAAUCGAUGGGGCUGGUGGAGAACCUUAAAUAGCCCCGUGUUCGAACGAUGACCAACGCCUGUAGAGAGCAGUUUAUCAAAAUCGGUGGCUAUUGCCAUUGAUACGGGGCCGCCACGCAGGUGUUACAAAAGAAAACCACUGUGGCCUGCAGGUGUUGCGCUCUGACGAAGAGCAAACAAUGCCGAUUCGAAUCAGUAAAUAACGUAAAUUUGGCUGAUAAGUAGGGAGAGGCUGAACUACAAUGUUGCCGGCUAUACCUAGUAAACAAAACAGCCAGAGGGUGAAUAUGUUUGAUCGAGCAAUCAAAUUUAAAAAAGCGGCCGAUUAAUUUCCUAUCGAUCGUGAUUGAAGACUUUGUGUCAUCGAAGACUGCACAUCUCUAACUAUGGCCGUUCAAAACAUAAAAUGUAAAC
rnacentral:lncRNA from 1 species